rnacentral:rRNA from 1 species
AAAGAAACCAACCGGGAUUGCCUCAGUAACGGCGAGUGAAGCGGCAAGAGCUCAAAUUUGAAAUCUGGCCCCUUUGGGGUCCGAGUUGUAAUUUGCAGAGGAUGCUUCGGAUGCGGCCCCUGUCUAAGUGCCCUGGAACGGGACGUCGGAGAGGGUGAGAAUCCCGUCUGGGAUAGGGUGUCCGUGUCCGUGUGAAGCUCCUUCGACGAGUCGAGUUGUUUGGGAAUGCAGCUCUAAAUGGGUGGUAAAUUUCAUCUAAAGCUAAAUACUGGCCGGAGACCGAUAGCGCACAAGUAGAGUGAUCGAAAGAUGAAAAGCACUUUGAAAAGAGAGUUAAACAGCACGUGAAAUUGUUGAAAGGGAAGCGCAUGCGACCAGACUCGCUCGCGGGGUUCAGCCGGCAUUCGUGCCGGUGUACUUCCCCGCGGGCGGGCCAGCGUCGGUUUGGGCGGCCGGUCAAAGGCCCCCGGAAUGUAUCACCUCUCGGGGUGUCUUAUAGCCGGGGGUGCAAUGCGGCCAGCCUGGACCGAGGAACGCGCUUCGGCACGGACGCUGGCAUAAUGGUCGUAAGCGAC